UACGAAGGGGGCUAGCGUUGCUCGGAAUCACUGGGCGUAAAGGGUGCGUAGGCGGGUCUUUAAGUCAGGGGUGAAAUCCUGGAGCUCAACUCCAGAACUGCCUUUGAUACUGAAGAUCUUGAGUCCGGGAGAGGUGAGUGGAACUGCGAGUGUAGAGGUGAAAUUCGUAGAUAUUCGCAAGAACACCAGUGGCGAAGGCGGCUCACUGGCCCGGUACUGACGACGUGAGGCACGG
rnacentral:rRNA from 1 species